rnacentral:rRNA from 1 species
UGGUAAGGUAAUGGCUUACCAAGGCGACGAUCAGUAGCCGACCUGAGAGGGUGAUCGGCCACAUUGGAACUGAGACACGGUCCAAACUCCUACGGGAGGCAGCAGUGGGGAAUAUUGCACAAUGGGCGAAAGCCUGAUGCAGCAACGCCGCGUGAGUGAUGAAGGCCUUCGGGUCGUAAAACUCUGUCCUCAAGGAAGAUAAUGACGGUACUUGAGGAGGAAGCCCCGGCUAACUACGUGCCAGCAGCCGCGGUAAUACGUAGGGGGCUAGCGUUAUCCGGAUUUACUGGGUGUAAAGGGUGCGUAGGUGGUUUUUUAAGUCAGGAGUGAAAGGCUACGGCUCAACCGUAGUAAGCUCUUGAAACUGGAAAACUUGAGUGCAGGAGAGGAAAGUGGAAUUCCUAGUGUAGCGGUGAAAUGCGUAGAUAUUAGGAGGAACACCAGUAGCGAAGGCGGCUUUCUGGACUGUAACUGACA